GCGAUAUGCAGCCAGGGCGGAGAACAGCUGCGGGCCCGGGCGCCGGCGGGGUGGAGAGCGCGGCCUGGACAGAACUCCAGGCUUUGCCGGGGACUGAGGCCUGACUGACGGGGCGUGGCCUGAAUCAACGAAAUGACGUCUCCGGCGUGUGGGCGUGGCGGCGCAUAAGGGGCGCGGCCAAGGUGGCCGCGCGCAGGAAACACGGGAACCGGAAGCGAACGAGGGGGUUCCGACUCAGCGAAGUCGUUCUGGUGCAGUGCUUGCUCAGAUGUAUGAAUGUGAUCAUUUUAAGAAGAUGUGAAGUGGAAGAAGGAUUAAUGGAAGGAGGAAGUGGUGGCAAAUUCGGAAAGCAGCACUUCAGGACAGCCCCACGCUCUGCCCUUGUGCCUUUGCUGCCCACGCUCCCCGCAGAUAAUCUUUGGCUGUCAAUGAGAUUGCUGUUUGCUGUUAUCUCAAGUAAUGGACAGGAACUGUUGACAGUCCUAACUUUGGGGACUUGUCAUCUAAUAAAAUGAAGAUCAAAUCCUAUACCUGUUGCCCAAGAUGAAAAUAAAAUCAGUUUCACACAGUG